rnacentral:rRNA from 1 species
AGAGUUUGAUCCUGGCUCAGAGCGAACAUUGGCGGCGCGUUUAACACAUGCAAGUCGAGCGGCAGUCCUUCGGGACGAGAGCGGCGAACGGGUGAGUAACACGUGAGUAAUCAACCUAACACAUUGGGAUAGCCGUUGGAAACGACGGGUAAUACCGGAUACGAUCCAUGUUAUAAAGAUAUGGAGGAAAGGCGGGGACCUUCGGGCCUGCCGGUGCUAGACGAGCUCGCGGCCCAUUAGCUAGUUGGGGAGGUAACGGCUCACCAAGGCGAUGAUGGGUAGGGGGUGUGAGAGCAUGGCCCCCCACACUGGGAUUGAGAUACGGCCCANACUCCUACGGGAGGCAGCAGUGGAGAAUCUUGCACAAUGGGGGAAACCCUGAUGCAGCGACGCCGCGUGGAUGACGAAGGCCCUAUGGGUUGUAAAGUCCUUUUCUAUGGGAANAACGUGCCGGNGUAGCAACUGAUAUCCGUAAUGACGGUACCAUAGCGAAUCAGUCACGGCCUAACUCUGUGCCAGCAGCCGCGGUAAUACAGAGGUGGCAAAUGUUGCUCGGAAUUACUGGGCGUAAAGGACGCGCAGGCGGACUGUUAAGUCAAGAGUGAAACCCAUCGGCUCAACCGGUGGCAUGCUUUUGAAACUGGCGGUCUUGAGACACGCAGGGGAUGAUGGAACACCUGGAGUAGCGGUGAAAUGCGUAGAUAUCAGGUGGAACACCGGUGGCGAAGGCGAUCAUCUGGUCGAGGUCUGACGCUGAGGCGUGAAAGCCGGGGGAGCAAACAGGAUUAGAUACCCUGGUAGUCCCGGCCCUAAACGGUGAGUGCUAGGUGUAGGGGGUUGAACCUCUGUGCCGCAGCUAACGCAGUAAGCACUCCGCCUGGGGAGUACGGUCGCAAGUCUGAAACUCAAAUGAAUUGACGG